rnacentral:rRNA from 1 species
AUGAACAGAGUAACUUCAGAUUACAUCACAGGAGAUUCCCUUGAUGAACUAUUGUCGAAACUUAUCAGGAGCAUGGAGGCUGCCAAGGCUUCAAGGGGAGGUUUGCCAGAAAAGAUAUGGAUGAAGCAACAAUUUUCUGUUGGGGUCAACGACGUGACAAGGGUUCUCGAACGAAUGCCUGCUGCUGCUGCUUCUCGUUCUGGCUGUUCCACUGAAGCACCGACCAGCACAGCUAGGCGGAGAGCUCCUUUGGUGCCACUUCAGGUUACUAUUGUUUCUUAA